AUGGGUAGCACUGUUGUCAGGUUUCUAAGCAUUGCAACCUUAUUUACCAUUUGCUUAUUAUUAUGCAAUGCAAAUCUGAGUGCGCCUUGCAAACAAAAUGAGAGACAAGCACUUUCGAAGUUUAAGCCCGAUCUUGAAGAUCCUUUAAUUCAGCUUUCAUCUUGGGCUGGUGAAGGAGAUUGUUGCACUUGGACGGGAGUUGUCUGCGACAAUUUAACCGGUCAUGUCCGCGAGCUCCACCUUGCUGAGAUGUAUUUAACCGGUACGAUAAAUCCAUUUCUACUCAAUUUAACGCAUCUGAGCUACUUGGAUCUAAGCAACAAUGAUUUUCGAGGAAUGCAGAUUCCUAGCUUCUUAGGUUCUCUCAAAAGUUUAAGAUAUCUUGACCUCUCAAACUUGAUGUUCGUCGGAUUAAUUCCUCAUCAAUUGGGAAAUCUAACGAGUCUACAGGUUCUUGAUCUGGGGAUUGACACCCGUUUGGAACCGGAGAUUAACACACGUUUGGAGGUUGAGAGCCUUCAAUGGAUUUCUGCUCUCUUCCAUAAGUGACACUUGGACAUGAGUGGUGCAAAUCUUAGCAAAGCAUCUGAUUGGUUGCCGGUGACAAACACACUCCCGUCUUUGGUAGAGUACUUGGAUAUGUCUGAUUGUGGACUUUAUCACAUACCUGGUGGUAUUGCCAACAUGACUAAUCUUAAAUUCCUUAAUAUCCAGGACAACUCUAUCAGUUCUUCUAUACCUAAAUGGUUGUACAGGCUUAGCCAUCUUCAGUCCCUAAUUUUUUCCUACAAUUUUUUUCAUGGUGAGAUCUCGUCUUCCCUUGGAAACCUCACAUCCAUUGUCAAUCUUGACUUAAAUUCUAAUCAAGUUGAAGGGAAUAUCCCAAACUCCUUGGGAAAUCUUUGUAAGUUGACUACUCUUGAUAUGUCGAGGAACAAUCUCAAUGGAAGCGUGUCAGAAAUUUUUGUAAGUUUUUCUAGGUGUAGUUCAGGUCAAAUAGAGUCAUUGAGUCUGUUUGGGAACAAUCUUUCUGGCCAAUUAACAGAUAAGCUUGAUAAUUUUGAAAAGUUGCGCGUCCUUGAUCUUGCUAAUAACUCAAUAUCAGGUCCCCUUCCACCGUCCUUUGGCAAUCUGUCAUCCUAGAAGUUUUGAUAAUUGGUGAUAAUAAUUUAACAGGUGUUGUCUCUCAACAACAUUUCACUAAUCUGACAAGAUUGGUGCAAUUUGAAGCAAGUGGAAAUUCAUUGACUAUUGAAACUACUCCACACUGGCUUCCUCCAUUUCAACUUUUUAUUUUGGUUUUAAAUUCUUGGCAUCUGGAGCUAUCGGAAUUGCCCAUGUGGCUUCAGAGUCAAACACAGUUGGAGAUUCUUAGCAUGCCCAACACAAGAAUUUCAGGUACCAUUCCUACUUGGUUUUGGAACUUUUCUUCCCAAUUAGGCAAUAUUGAUCUCUCUCAAAAUAAAUUGUAUGGUGAGGUUCCACCUAUAUUUCCCAGUUCGCGGAAUCAGGAAAUUUUCCUAGGUUCUAACCAGUUCAAUGGUUCAUUACCUCUUGUUUCAUCAACAGUAGAAAUACUAGAUCUUUCCAACUCAUCGUUUUCUGGAACGCUCUUUCACUUUUUCUGUAAUAAUAAUAGCGAACCAAAGGCAUUUGAAAUUCUUCAUCUGGAACAAUCUUCUAUCUGGAAAAAUUCCUGACUGUUUCAGAAACUGGGCAACCUUGGUAGUUGUAAAUUUAGAAAGCAACAAUUUAAUUGGGAAUAUUCCAAGGUCUUUGGGCUACUUACUCUUCCUCCAAUACUUGCACUUGCGCAAUAAUCACUUGCAUGGGGAGUUGCCUCCAUAUCUAAAGAAAUGUACAGAUUUGACUAUUCUUGACCUUAGUUACAAUAAGUUUCUAGGAAAGAUACCAAUGUGGAUUGGAAAAAGCCUUUCAAAUUUGGCGGUUCUUAGCCUUCGUUCAAAUAAGCUUCAUGGCCACAUUCCGUACAAACUAUGCAGUCUUGCAAAUCUCCAAAUCUUGGACCUCGCACAUAACAAUCUCUCAGGAAGAAUGCCAAGGUGUUUGUACAAUUUUACAGCAAUGACCACCCGUUUAUACUUUAAUCAUCCAUUUUAUAUUGUGGGCCGAAUAGAGAAUGCAAACGUGGUGACAAAAGGCAGAGAAGUGAAAUAUGGAAACAUUCUUCUUAGCUUGGCAAUUAGUUUGGACCUUUCAGAGAACAUUAUCUCUGGAGAAAUCCCUGAAGAACUUACCAGCCUCAUCUACUUGCAGUCGGUGAAUUUGUCUUAUAAUCUUUUGAGUGGAAGAAUCCCUCCCAAGAUUGGUGAUAUGAGAAGGUUAGAAUCUCUUGAUUUGUCCAUGAAUCAACUUUGUGGUCAAAUUGCUCCAAGUAUGUCAAGUUUGACAUUUCUCAGUGCCUUGAACUUGUCCUACAAUAAUUUGACAGGCGAGAUUCCGGAAAGCACUCAACUUCAGAGUUUGGAUCAAUCCAGUUUUAUUGGUAAUAAACUUUGUGGCCCUCCACUUGAAGUGAACUGCAGUAAUACCAAUGGGACAGUACCACCGGUAGCCGAUCAGAAACACGGAGGAAGUUAUUUGCUUGAAGACAGUUGGUUCUUUCUGAGCUUGGGACUAGGAUUUCUGUUCGGUUUUUGGAGUGUUCUUGGCUCGUUGUUGUUGAACUUGCCAUGGAGCAUUGUCUUUUCUCGGUUCCUAAAUAGCAUUGUGAAGAAGCUUUUAUGGGGUAAUUGUUGAACAUUUUUAACUAUUUCUGCUGGUAGAUUGACCUUGGUUUGUUCUUUUAGAUGUUAUCGUUUCCAAAAGUUUAAGAGAUGCUUUA